rnacentral:rRNA from 1 species
CUAAGCACGAAUCCUAUCCCGAGACAAGUUAUUCUUUCGUAAGAUGAAGGUCGGCAGCAAAAUACUGCGUUGAUAGGAAGGUGGUGUAAAUCACAAGCUUCGGCGAGUGGUGAGCCAGCCUUUACUAAUAGACCAACACAUCAGUUCA